rnacentral:lncRNA from 1 species
GCUGGCCCCGCCCCGAAGUGCUGGGUUCCAUCCUGCCUGGCUGGGUGACCUCAGCCCACUGCCCCUGGCUGAACUCGAGAACAAAGAUCCUCUCUGUCCCGCCUACUUGCUUCUUAACCAUAUGAGUGAGAGGGCAAAUGAGAUCCCAUUUUGAACUCCCAGGAGAAAAGACAGCAGUAAUAGUAACAAUUAUCUGGAGGUUACAGCUGCCAGCAAACAGAAAACAGCUCACCUCUAAGGGCAACUGGAGGCCACUUCUAGGAGCUGGAGCAGUCUAUCCUCUUGGGCUCUGGGGGUGUGGGAGUGAGAGGGAAGGACAGAGAACACCAGGGGUUUUGCUGCAGAUGCAUUCACGUUCUUGGCUUCUCUAGGUGCAUGGGAACCCUGAGAAGGCCUUCCCGUGCCCCCCCAGUUUCUUGCUCUGAUCUGUGAAUCCUGGCUUCUCCAUUUGUGACGUGAUGAUUAAGGGCAAAAGUGGACUUGUCAGAAACAGGAAGGAAAGAUAAGAUAAAAAUAAAACAAAAUAAAAUAAAAAGUUAGCUAGACAUAACUUUCUCCCCUCCCCCCCGCUCCCCAACAGUCAUAUCCUUAAAACAAAAAUCCCACAGCAAAGCCCAGAAUGGGGGGUCAGACUUCGGGCUCCAGGUCAAGGCUGGAGAGCAGUGGGGGAAGUGAUUCAGCACCCUGCACCCGCCCAGAUGAAGGAGCAGAGUGCCAGGAGGCCCGGCCAGGACGCAGGGCUGUGGGUAGCGCGGCCCGCCUCAGCCUCAGCCCUGCACACUGCGCUCAGCCCUGCACACUGCGCUCAGCCCCCAUUCACCCCAAGAGCCAGCGAGCUGGGGAGCUGCAGCGUGAUUGAUGGGCCCCAGCUUGAAUGGAAAGUCCAGAUCCCAGGGAGACAGCUUAAGAGCAUGGAUCGGAAUGGUGCCUGUCUUGUUACUCGUGUCCUCUCCGGGGAGGGAAAGCGAGAAGAGGGCAGGGCCUUGGCCAUCCUGUGCACCUGUCUUCUGCGCUGA